CCCUUAGAUGUUCUGGGCCGCACGCGCGCUACACUGACGAAGUCAGCGAGCAUGUCCUACGCCGACAGGUGCGGGGAAUCUUGUCAAACUUCGUCGUGAUGGGGAUCGAUUAUUGAAAUUCUUGAUCAUCAACGAGGAAUUCCUAGUAAGCGCAAGUCAGCAGCUUGCGUUGAUUACGUCCCUGCCCUUUGUACACACCGCCCGUCGCUACUACCGAUUGAAUGGUUUAGUGAGAUCUUCGGAUUGGCGCCACUGCGGCUCAGCAAUGGGCUCGGUGGAUGCCGAAAAGUUGAUCAAACUUGAUCAUUUAGAGGAAGUAAAAGUCGUAACA
rnacentral:rRNA from 1 species